GACGAACCGUACAAACGUUAUUCGGAAUUACUGGGCUUAAAGGGUGCGUAGGCGGCGCGGUAAGUUGGGUGUGAAAUCCCUCGGCUCAACCGAGGAAUUGCGCUUGAUACUGCCGUGCUUGAGGGAGACAGAGGUGAGCGGAACUUAGGGUGGAGCGGUGAAAUGCGUUGAUAUCCUAAGGAACACCAGUGGCGAAAGCGGCUCACUGGGUCUCUUCUGACGCUGAGGCACGAAAGCUAGGGGAGCGAACGGG
rnacentral:rRNA from 1 species